rnacentral:rRNA from 1 species
UACGUAGGGUGCGAGCGUUGUCCGGAAUUAUUGGGCGUAAAGAGCUCGUAGGCGGUGUGUCGCGUCGGCCGUGAAAACCUGCAGCUUAACUGUGGGCUUGCGGUCGAUACGAGCAGACUAGAGUUCGGUAGGGGAGACUGGAAUUCCUGGUGUAGCGGUGGAAUGCGCAGAUAUCAGGAGGAACACCGGUGGCGAAGGCGGGUCUCUGGGCAGUAACUGACGCUGGAGAACGGCGAAAGCGUGGGGAGCGAACAG